UUUCUUAGAUGUAAAAUAAGAUAACGGCAAUCACCUUGGAGAGUGGUUACUGGCGUUCAACAUUCAUUCAACUAAAAGAUGGAAAGUUUCCUUUUGAGAGGAGAAAAAAAUGGUGAAAAGAAAAUUCUAGCAAAUAAAAAAUGAUUUGCAAGGCUUCUCCUGUACUUGCUAAACAAGGUCUCCCUCUGUCGCUCAGGCUGGAGUGCAGUGGUGCAAUCACGGGUCACUGCAGCCUGGACCUCUGUGGCUCAAGAAUUCUGAUUCUAUUAUCAUCAGUUUUGCCUGUUCUUGUACAUACAGUGUGUGCUCUUGUGUGUGGUUCCUUUUGUUCAACAUUCUAUGUUUUUGAGCUGCAUCCAUGUUGUUGAGCAUACAAACAGCUGUUUUGACGUUGUUGUCAUUGUGUUGUAUUCCAUUGUAUGACUAUGCUACCGUUUAUCUGUCUGUUGAUGAAUUUGAGCUGUUUCCAAUCAUUGCCUAUUAACAAAUAAAGUGGCUAGUAACAUUCCUGUACAUAUCUAUUUGUGCAGCCAUUCUCUUGGGUACAUACUUAGGGUUAGAAUUGUUAGGUGAGAAGGUAGGCACAUAUUAAGUGUUAGAAAAGUCUGCUAACACAUUCCCAGAGGUUGUACAAUUUUAGACUCCUACUGGCAAGAUCUGAUGUUCCAGUUGCACCAGGGCCUUGUGAACCCUUGCCACUGUCUGUCUUUUAAAUGUAGCCAUUCUGAGGAGUGUGUUUUGGUAUUUCCUUGUGGUUUCAAUUAGUAUUUCAUGGCUACUUGAUUUUGUGGGUCUACUCUACCCAGGCUUUUCACUUUUUGUCUGAAAAGCCUUAUAUUCUGUGUAAUGAAAUACACCAGUGUUUAAAAUUGUUUCUGAGAUGACUGGACAGCUUUUACCCAUUUGCUUACUUCCGGUCUUGGCAUCACUAUUCUCAUGGCAUUAAGAAUGCUUGUGUGUGUGUGAGGCUG
rnacentral:lncRNA from 1 species